UACGGAGGAUCCAAGCGUUAUCCGGAUUUAUUGGGUUUAAAGGGUGCGCAGGCGGAAGAUUAAGUCGGCGGUGAAAUUUUGCAGCUCAACUGUAAAAGUGCCAUCGAUACUGGUUUUCUUGAGUGUGGAUGAAGUAGGCGGAAUUUGUGGUGUAGCGGUGAAAUGCAUAGAUAUCACGAGGAACUCCGAUUGCGCAGGCAGCUUACUAGGCCAUAACUGACGCUCAGGCACGAAGGCGUGGGGUCGAAACAGGAUUAGAUACCCCGUA
rnacentral:rRNA from 1 species